GUUCCCUAGUUAUGAUUUUGGGUCCUAAAUGCUCUUAAAUUUCUUACUUUAUGUGGUCUUUUUAACUUUAUGUUUCGAGCGUCAAUGGUGGGUCUUUUGUGGACGAAACGCGCCCCUGGUGUACAGAAUUACAAUCCCGGUAUAUUUGAAGAGUUUGUUUGAAAAUUCUAUUUUGUUCCCGUAUGUUCAUUAUUGUCAAUCAAAAAUUGAGAUUUUUAUGCUGCUUGCCUUGAUAUUUACCACUGUAUGUCAAGUCAGCCAUGGAAAUGUGUGAUGUAACGGUUGUUGCCUUCAUACAUAGCAUAGAUGGUUCCUCUUUCUUGGCCUCUUUUAUAUUUACCUAUGAUAAAGAAACUGAUGUUUUUGUAAAAUGAACUUUACUUUUAGCCCUAAAGAAAAAAAUUCUAAAUGACUGCUAUCUGAUUGUGACAUCUCAGGAGUAAUAGUUUAUCACACAGUGGUAGUAAUUUUGCCGUUGUCACUGUGAUAGUACACGAUUUUUUUUCUCUAGCAUCAAAGCCAUUGAAGGCAAAUAAGCAUUGGAGUUACACAGCAAGACAAACAAAGAAUAUGAAAAACAAUCAACCUGACGAUAAUUACAAAGUGCUUUACAUUUCUAGGACGUAUAUGAAGUUGAAAAUGAUAUUUUGAUUUAUACCAUCAUUCUAGAUUACAAAAUACUUUUGAAUGUUUAUUUUGAAAUAUAACUUGUCAUAAUUUUUAUAGUCUUUAAUAAAUAUUAUAAGUUUAUUGAGUGUAUUAGAAGGAGGUUGAGAUUGGACAGUUUCAACUACAACGGUAAUUGCUCUGUUAACUGUGCGUCUUUAUCUCAAAUUAUUAUCAUUAAUAUCAAAUGACUCAAUAUGUUGCUGCAAUUCCGUAUCUUAAAAUCUAUUGUAUUAACAAAUUCAUUAUGUUGUUAUGGUUUUUAUAUUCAUCGGAUGAAUAUGAUAGAAAAAAAAUGUAUGAACAAAGUUAUCAGAUUAUUUAGCUCUUCUUAGAAUGCUUAGAGAUUGCGAACCAAUAACGAGGUGCGCAAUUGAUCGCCAAAGAUUUAAGUAUUAUAGUUUUCUCAAAAUACACUAUAUCGAUGAAUAUCUAUUGAAGUAUUAUUAAAUCUUUUCCAUGAAACAAUUUCAGAUUUCCACUCCGGAGAUACAAAGUGUCUUGAAGAUUUAUAUUUUUCUUCUUUAGUUUUGGGUCGAUGAGUAUCAGCUAGACGGAAGAAAGUAUCGUUGUUCACACACGGGGCUGUAAUAAAUUUACGGAUUGGUGGAGUGGGUGGACGAAUCUUUACUGUAUAUGUUGGUCUGGGGGUUUUAUUUCUGAAAUAGAGAUGUACAGAAUAAAACGACCAUGUAUGAUAUGACUAAAUGUAAUUAAUGCAUGUAUUUGUGGAUAUCAAUUGGCCGCCGAUUAAAUACUGCAUU
rnacentral:lncRNA from 1 species